AUUGAACGCUGGCGGCAUGCCUUACACAUGCAAGUCGAACGGCAGCAUGAUCUAGCUUGCUAGAUUGAUGGCGAGUGGCGAACGGGUGAGUAAUACAUCGGAACGUGCCCUGUAGUGGGGGAUAACUAGUCGAAAGAUUAGCUAAUACCGCAUACGACCUGAGGGUGAAAGUGGGGGACCGCAAGGCCUCAUGCUAUAGGAGCGGCCGAUGUCUGAUUAGCUAGUUGGUGGGGUAAAGGCCCACCAAGGCGACGAUCAGUAGCUGGUCUGAGAGGACGAUCAGCCACACUGGAACUGAGACACGGCCCAGACUCCUACGGGAGGCAGCAGUGGGGAAGUUUGGACAAUGGGGGCAACCCUGAUCCAGCAAUGCCGCGUGUGUGAAGAAGGCCUUCGGGUUGUAAAGCACUUUUGUCCGGAAAGAAAUCGCACUUACUAAUAUUAGGUGUGGAUGACGGUACCGGAAGAAUAAGGACCGGCUAACUACGUGCCAGCCGCCGCCGUAA
rnacentral:rRNA from 1 species